rnacentral:lncRNA from 1 species
AAAGUCCAAAGAAAGUGUAAAGAGUGCUGUGCGCCUAACAUGCUUCUUUCAUUUAUACUUUGUGUUAUGAAACACAAGACCCUGUUUUUUUGGUGGUCCUCAGCUUUCUAAAUUUUUUAUUUGGUAAUAAAAGUUGGGUGUUUACCCCCCGCAAAAGCUGGUCCCUUUCGUUAUACCGUUGCUGUAAUUGUGCAUUAGCCGAAAUUGAGUGUUACAGGUAUACUGCUCAUGUACACACCAAUAAGAAAAAAGUACAAGAUUGCUUGAGGACAAUCACAUUUUGUACUGGAACAACGAUGAAGACCAAUACAUGUUUAAAACCAUUUCACAUUGCUCAACUCAUUCAUUUCAAAUAACGUGUAUGAUAUUGGAAAAUGAACUUCGGCGGAACUAAAGCGUGGCAUAUAACAAGUUUUGUUUACACAAUGCUCGAUGUGCCAGUAAUAACAGUUUGUUCAAGGCAGAUGAGCACACCUCAACUGAAUCGGAUUUAAGAGCUUUUUUUUACGGCUGAUGAUUGUUUCUCUCCUCAUCGUCUCAGAAUAAGGAAGGGGCGAACCAGUCACAAGUUUCAUCACUUGGGAAGACGUAUCCUCUGAAGCCCUUAAUUGGGCCUUGGUGAGGUUCCAAAUAGCCUCAGAGAAUACGUUGGCGGGGUAACGUACAUUGCUUCUGAAGGUACCCCGUUCAAGGCCUUGAUGGGCCUUUGCGAGGCUCUACAUCACUUCGGAGAAAGUGGCUGGCGAAGCCUCAACGGCUUGCUGCUAGACUGGCUAGGCUCAAGUGGCCUCUUGCUUAGCUGGCAGCCAAGUGGACAGUGGCAUACCAUGAUGUGUUAUGAUAUAAAUCAACAAUCAUGCGACAUAGACAUAAUGACUGACAUAUUACUUGAUAUAAUGCCACGUGGCUAUCUAUCAUUGAAUUGUUUAAAAUAUAGUCAAUUUUUUCAACUAAUUACAUUUGUCAACACUUAUUAGGUCAACUAUCAGGUCCGAUCCCCUGCCCAACAGGAUAAAAUUUUUCUAACAUGACAAGAGAACCUUAAUUACGGUUGUCUUUCCACAUUGAAAGAAGAUCAAUUUCAAUAAACCAUAUAUCAUAAAUUUCAACCAAUUUGCUCUCAUUUCAGACUAGGCAGGCCCCAAAAAGUUGAGAUGGUAUGAAACUCAACAAAAAUCAAGAUGUACUAAAAUUUUGGUUUAAGACAGAAUGGACAUAAAUGCUUUGAUAAAUUGCAGGUUCCUAAAACAGAUCAUCUCUCUCAAUUCUUGUUUACCCUUUUUCUUUCCUUCAUUUUUCAUCUAUUUUUACAAUAAACCACAUAAUCCAAGCUCGCCGAUAUAUGAAAUCAAAUUGGUUAAAAUCUUUAGAAGAUAAGAAACGAUUCUUAAACAUAUUCACAAGCUGAGAUCUUGAAACUUGAAUAUGUGAGAAUUUUGUUGAAGACUGGCAACAGAAAUACAUAAGACAAUCAAGCCAAUUGAAGAUGAAACACAUACCUUCAACAGUGGUGUCUGGCACUUCUUAACCUGCAGCACAGAAGUGUUAUAAAAGAGGGCUUGCAUUUCUUAGUAAUCGCAAAUCCCUUCAUAAAUUCAUAGGUGAUCAUAAUCAUCAAAUGAGAAAAUAAACGCUAGAUUAUAAUGAAUUGAAAGAGGCUCAGACACGCACAAAUAGGUCAUCAGAAUUAAAGACCAAAUGGAAGGUCAAAAACCCUAUUAUUAUAUCAGCAUCGAGAAAUGAAUUCUAUCUUCAUCGCCUCAUAACAACUCGUCAAAAUUUCUAAGAAUUAUAUUGCAAGAAAAAUUAAAGGUAUAAAUGCAAAGAUCCGAAAUUGGAGAAUAACCAGUUAUUUUAUCCAAAAUCCAAAAACCAAGAAAGAACUGGUGAUUCUUGCUUACUACGUACGGAGCUAUAUAUAGCCGAUUAGGUUUAGCCGUUCGUCUAGGUUUAG